rnacentral:rRNA from 1 species
GCUUACGGCCAUACACCUGAACACGCCCGAUCUCGGAAGCUAAGCAGGGUAGGGCCUGGUUAGUACUUGGAUGGGAGACCGCCUGGGAAUACCAGGUGCUGUAAGCU